UGCAACAUUCGGUCAUGUGAUACUCUCCAUCACAAAGGGGGAGUAUAAUUGCAUGUCCGAAUUUCUAAAAAUCUGUGGAAGUUUUGAGGGGAGCCAGUCAGCCCUCUUCUUUUUCAAUUCGAAGGGUGGGGUGUUCAAGGGCCUCCUCAAAGCUUUCACUGCUGCAUGGGAGUUUGUGGGCCUCCCAAAACCGGCCCCAACUUUCAUGGCCUUGAGGAACUCUAUGUCCACUCAGAAAACCUUUUGGAUCCAGCUGCCCAUGCUGAGUUUGUGAGGGCCACUUCGGAGGUGCUUCCCAAAAUACUGCAAAAACUACAUCAUGAUCAGAGGCAGCUGGACCUGUUCUUUGGCCUCCUCGGUGCGGUCAUGAUUGUAACCUCUGGU